UUCAUUUGACUAAGCAAAAAGAAACCCAGAUCAUGCUGAAACUUUAUUGAACUCAAAAUGUGGGAAUUUCUUAUUUCUUGUCCUUUUCGGAGGGGGAGAAAAUACCACCGGAAAUUUGACCACGUCCCUUAAACCCUUCGCUAGCUUCACCACUAAUAGGGUUGAUCUUGUUCUCCUUCAUGUACUCAUUGGACUUCUCUUGCCAUUCACGAGUCAUGGUACGAGGAGAAGGAGCAGCUUGAGUGCGGAUGAGACCAAACAAUACGACACCGAUCGUUAAACCAGCGACAGUUCCCCAAAAAACUGUCUUUUGACUAAUGUGGCUGAAAGCACGAGGACCGUGUUCACCAAAAGCAAUCCAAUAUGCGGCUUUCUUUUCCUCAAUGGAGAGUGUCGUCCAGGGUUGUUUCUGACGAGCAUACAAAUCUGUGAUAAGACCGUCUUUCUCCUCCUGAGACAUAAUACCCCAACGCUUGUCCAAAUCAACCAAACGAGGACGAGCGAUCAUGGCCUCUCCGGAAGGCUGCUCUUUCUGCAAAGCGUUGGUAGCAGCAGCACUCACAGUAGCAGCAUUGCGAGUGCAGAGAAGCUUCAUUGGCACUUUUUUGCAGAUAAUUUUUGAAAGAUACAUAAUUAUUAGCUUAAUUCAAUAAUUUAAUGCUAAAAAGAUCGAAUUAUAGAGAGAGGGGGAAUUUGGGUGUGUAAGGAAGAAGGCCAACGCCAAUCCUCGGGAGUCCCAUUGGCACACUGUCGGAGAAAUUAGGGUAGGGUUUAGCUUCGCAUGCUGAU